CCUACGGGUGGCAGCAGUGAGGAAUAUUGGUCAAUGGUCGGAAGGCUGAACCAGCCAAGCCGCGUGAGGGACGAAGGUGCCAAGUAUCGUAAACUUCUUUUGUCAAGGAACAAAUUCUGGCUCGCGACCCCGACUGAGUGUACCUGAAGAAAAAGCAUCGGCUAACUCCGUGCCAGCAGCCGCGGUAAUACGGAGGAUGCGAGCGUUAUCCGGAUUUAUUGGGUUUAAAGGGUGCGUAGGCGGACUGUUAAGUCAGCGGUAAAAGCCCGGGGCUCAACCCCGGCGAGCCGUUGAAACUGGCUGUCUUGAGAUGGAGAGAGGUAUGCGGAAUGCGCGGUGUAGCGGUGAAAUGCAUAGAUAUUGCGCAGAACUCCGAUUGCGAAGGCAGCAUGCCGGCGCCAAACUGACGCUGAGGCACGAAAGCGUGGGUAUCGAACAGGAUUAGAUACCCGGGUAGUC
rnacentral:rRNA from 1 species